UAGUCAUACGCUUGUCUCAAAGAUUAAGCCAUGCAUGUCUAAGUAUAAGCAUUAUACAGUGAAACUGCGAAUGGCUCAUUAUAUCAGUUAUAGUUUAUUUGAUAGUCCCUACUACUUGGAUAACCGUAGUAAUUCUAGAGCUAAUACAUGCAUAAAAUCCCGACUCACGAAGGGAUGUAUUUAUUAGAUACAACCAACCCCUUUUGGGUUUAUGGUGAAUCAUAAUAACUGAACGAACCGUAUGCGCGAGCGACGGUGGUUCAUUCAAGUUUCUGCC
rnacentral:rRNA from 1 species